UACGGAGGAUGCGAGCGUUAUCCGGAUUUAUUGGGUUUAAAGGGUGCGCAGGCGGAAUGUCAAGUCAGCGGUAAAAUACGGGGGCUCAACCUCCGCCCGCCGUUGAAACUGACGGUCUUGAGUGAGUGAGAAGUAAGCGGAAUGCGUGGUGUAGCGGUGAAAUGCAUAGAUAUCACGCAGAACUCCGAUUGCGAAGGCAGCAUGCCGGCUCCACACUGACGCUGAGGCACGAAAGCGUGGGUAUCGAACAGG
rnacentral:rRNA from 1 species